rnacentral:rRNA from 1 species
AGUGGCGGACGGGUGAGUAACACGUGAGGACCUGCCCAUAGGACGGGGAUAACAGUGGGAAACUGCUGCUAAUACCGGAUGAGCCGAGAGGUAAAACUUUAUAAGGCCUAUGGAGGGACUCGCGACUGAUUAGCUAGUUGGUGGGGUAAGGGCCUACCAAGGCGACGAUCAGUAGCUGGUCUGAGAGGAUGAUCAGCCACACUGGGACUGAGACACGGCCCAGACUCCUACGGGAGGCAGCAGUGGGGAAUUUUCCGCAAUGGGGGCAACCCUGACGGAGCAACGCCGCGUGAGGGAAGAAUGGUUGUGGCCAGUAAACCUCUUUUAAUAGGGAAGAAUUUUGACGGUACCUAUUGAAUAAGCAUCGGCUAACUCCGUGCCAGCAGCCGCGGUAAUACGGAGGAUGCAAGCGU